AUAUUGGGCGUAAGGGCUCGCAGGCGGUUUCUUAAGUCUGAUGUGAAAGCCCCCGGCUCAACCGGGGAGGGUCAUUGGAAACUGGGAAACUUGAGUGCAGAAGAGGAGAGUGGAAUUCCACGUGUAGCGGUGAAAUGCGUAGAGAUGUGGAGGAACACCAGUGGCGAAGGCGACUCUCUGGUCUGUAACUGACGCUGAGGAGCGAAAGCGUGGGGAGCGAACAGGAUUAGAUACCCUGGUAGUCCACGCCGUAAACGAUGAGUGCUAAGUGUUAGGGGGUUUCCGCCCCUUAGUGCUGCAGCUAACGCAUUAAGCACUCCGCCUGGGGAGUACGGUCGCAAGACUGAAACUCAAAGGAAUUGACGGGGGCCCGCACAAGCGGUGGAGCAUGUGGUUUAAUUCGAAGCAACGCGAAGAACCUUACCAGGUCUUGACAUCCUCUGACAACCCUAGAGAUAGGGCUUUCCCUUCGGGGACAGAGUGACAGGUGGUGCAUGGUUGUCGUCAGCUCGUGUCGUGAGAUGUUGGGUUAAGUCCCGCAACGAGCGCAACCCUUGAUCUUAGUUGCCAGCAUUCAGUUGGGCACUCUAAGGUGACUGCCGGUGACAAACCGGAGGAAGGUGGGGAUGACGUCAAAUCAUCAUGCCCCUUAUGACCUGUGCUACACACGUGCUACAAUGGACAGAACAAAGG
rnacentral:rRNA from 1 species